rnacentral:lncRNA from 1 species
GACAAGGGUGGUGGCCGCUCUGGAGGUGCCUGGGGGGUUCCCUCAUUACCCCUCUGGGCUUAGUCCAUCCUCCACACUGUUGUGCAGCUUCUCCACCUCCUGGUAGAGGAUAAAUACUGUUACCCUUAUCCCUGGUCACAUCCAGGGAGACGCGGUCCAGCGGCCCAGGCGGGGGACAGUGCCGUUCUAGAGGUCCUUGAGCCCCUCCUUCCUCAGGAUCUGCAGCCAUAGGCCGGUGUGUUCCGCGUUUGUGCUGCUCCAGGCCCCGCAUCCGGUCUCGAUCCCAUCCAGAGGAGCGUUUCCCAAGACACUGGCUGCGCCCACAAUGGCUCCGAAGACCCCAGCGACCAGCGGGUCCAUGGGCUUGCUGGGGUUGUCCCCUCGGUACCAGCUGUGCAGGGAGGUCAGGAGGAGAAGCAGACGGCCUGGUUCCAGCCCUGCUUUAGCGUGGGUGCCAUGAGGCCCCGACGUUUAAAGUAUUGCUGUGUGUUUCAAGUGGAGGAGGUCAUAUUACAACUGACAUUUGUCCUUGACUACUGGACAUAUCACACCAGCCCUGAUUGCAGUUAUACUUGAAGCCAGAUCUACCCUUAACGUAUAUUCAUUUUACUAUUCAAUAAAUAUUAACUUAUCAUGAAUGGUA